rnacentral:misc_RNA from 1 species
AAUAUGAAUAGGUCGGAUCCUAUUUCUGUUAGUUCUGGUAAAAACUGUGAGAGAUGCAACAACUGUGAUCUUAAGGAAAUGGAGAUGGAAAGCUUGGAGGAUUAUACUUACGUCACAAGCCAUGGACCUGAUAAGUCCUCGACUAAGGUGUAUUAUGAUAAUGGAAAAAAAGGGCACGAUAGAAUUGGUGUUGUUUCUAUGGAUAGAGAAUCGCCGGCGAGAUUUGU